AGGCUGUCAAGGGGUAGAAGUCCUCACAUCUCUGGCAGGGGCAGCUGUACUCCACUGAAGAAAUCUAAGAGCUGUGCCUUGUGCCUUACUUGAAAUGCUGUGUAUAAAUCUGAAACAUCCCAUAUGCAUCUGACCCUUGUCAAACCAGCUGGAACACAUAAUAAAUUUUCAAGCUGGGGAAAAGAGUUCAGAAAUUUAAUAACCAAUACAGAUAUCAUAAAAACCGGACUGUUGGUUUGCGGUCAACUGUGCAGUUUUCUUUGAGCAAAGAGGAAGAGAAAUGUGUCUGUGUGUGAUGGAGAGUGGCAAUCAAUACUAAGAUGUGCACCCAGUUUGUUGGGAAAAGCAAUGGGAUAUACAGGAAUAACACGGAUUGAAGGAAGCACAGAAGAGCUGAAGGGAAGCCCCUAAGAUUCAGAGGCAAUCUGUCUUCUCCCUUGCCAGCAUGCUGCAGUGUGAUGGAUAUGCAUCUAAACCAUGGGAAAACCUGAAGCAAGGAAGCAACUCCUAUCACUGAUGAAGAUGCAUCAUCACUGGGCUUGGUUCAAAAACCAUUAAAGCUUCUGAGUGGUUCCAGUGGGAAUGAGAACAACCCUUUUUCAGAAGUAGAGACAUACAUUAAACCUUAAUUGAGAAGAGCCUCCACCAGGAUUUUCCCUCUGAGGGGAAGAAGCUUUUGUGGAUAUAAUUGUCUUGGAGGGAGUAAUUAUUCCAUGGACAUUUCCCAAGGUGUGAGUGAUGGCUUUUUUUUGCCAAUUUUUCUGAGAGUGAGAGAGCUGUAGCAGUCUUAUCAAGGACUGGUGGCACUACCUGGCAGGCAGGGGACAGGCCGCUGUUUCAACAUACAUACACAGCAGUAGGAACGAGUUUCUUAUUGUUUGGCUGAAUAUUUCUCUAUUAUUCUUUCCCCUGCAGCACAACACAGUUUGCAGCAAUUGAUUGACUUAGCUGGACAGUGAGAUAAAAAAUUACAAAUAAGAUUGGCUGGAAGCUGUUCUGCUGCUGCGAUUAGAUGUAAAACAGCCACAGCCAGAGCUGUGUUUUGCCCAGAGUCAGAUCAACAGACCACAGAUUCUGGUUUUCUUUCUUUCUUUCUUUCUUUUUUUAACAUUUUAAUUUUUACACAAUUUCAGGAGGGCUGUCGAUCAUCAUUCUGAAAAACCCUGCAAGUGAUGAUGGAGUUUGUCAUUGUGAGCUGCGGAAUCAUCGCUCCUUCCUCUUGGUUAGGAAGACAUUGCAGAGUGGUGAUAAGCUGAGGGCAGAGCUGGUGGAGAUUGGGAAGGAAAAACGGACAUAAAUCUGGGAUGGGAUAGGAGUGAAGAGGGAAGAUCUCUGAAUAGACAGCUGUCAUUGACACAUUACUCAGUGGUCCUGCUUGCUGUUUUAAGCAGCACUGGCAAAGUCCUAUGGACCACUCCCCACCUCUUGCUGGGAAAACUGCCAUUGAGAGAAAACUGCCUGAAUAAGGGAUGAGCGCAGGCUGAUCUCCUCAGCAUAAUCCAUAAGCCCUCCUGGAUGUGACAGAGAGAUGUGGAGGAGGCAAAAGACACUUGAAACAAGAUAGCUUAGAACCAUUUUGUAUCUAAUUUGCAGCAAAGUUUUCUUUCAUCAUUUUCCUCUUUUCCGCCCAAGUCUCCCUAUUUGUCUUAUCAAAUCUUGGCAGAGAUAGCUGUGCAGAAUAGGGAGCUGCUGUUGGGAAGCAGUUUUUCCAGCGAUGUAAUAAAGCAGUCUUACUGCAAUGAAUUUUAAAGGCUGUUUUUGCUGCCUCAAGAAAUGCUGAUUUAUGACUUGAAUGAGUCAUGCUUUUUGCAAUUAGCAGGACACUGUCUAGAACGUACAGAGCAUCUGAGGCAGGAAUAGACUUUGUCUCUUCUUUUUUUUCUUCCCCUGCUAUUUUUCUAUUUUACUUUCAUUAAACCACCAAGUGAAAUACUCUCCAGGAAUAAAGAAGCUUUUGCAGCUAGGCUAGGACAACUCUCAAUUUUGCUUUGGAGCUGAUAACAUUAUCAGUAUGGCUCUCCAGGAAAAGAUAAACUCAUGGGCAGGUUGGUAUAUUUGAUUGUAUCAUCUGUAGUAUCCCUAUGGGCAAAUCCAUAAACCUCAUCCUGGGACAUCAGGAAAUUCAGCUGCAAUACUCACUAAUAGAGCAAUUGCAAAAAUAGUGAUGUCAAAUGUUACAUUACCGCAGAUUUGAGUAGCUCCCAACAUUAUAUAGCAUUAUUAGAUACAGUGGCAGACAAUGAGAUUGGCUUGAAUGCCACACAAUUCAUUAAGCAAACUAGUUUUCAUCUCAAGGCAUUCAGAUCUGUCACAUUUCUUUUAAUGAAACCCUGAAAUUUUUUAAUAAAAAUGCUUAGCAAAAAUAGAAUUUCA